GGAGAGAUGGCAGAGUGGCCGAAUGCGCAGCAUUGCUAAUGCUGUGUUCGGGUCAAACCGGACCGCGGGUUCGAAUCCCGCUCUCUCCG
rnacentral:tRNA from 1 species